CAGUAUAUAGUUUAGUUAAAAUAUAAUAUUUGGGUUAUUAAGAGUUAUUACUGA
rnacentral:tRNA from 1 species